UAUUGAGAAGAAGCAGAAUACAUGCUGAUCAUUUAUUUGUAAACCCCAAUAUUCCAUUUGCACGGAGUAGCAGAGAUAGAAAGAUGGUUGAAGCGCUAGCCAUGGCUAUAGUGGUAAAAUAAGCUAAUCAGCGUAGACAAUCCCGUCGGUAAGUGGGGCAAUUUCGACUUGGAAGACAGUAGUGUUUGGAAUCUUUACAAUUAUCCAAAACUGGUGGACGGUUUAAAGGCUUAGAGCCAAUAAUUGGUGUACUACCUGCAAGCAUUCUACUAAACUCAGAGUCCAUCAUGAACUCAAACUCCAUAUUGGCAUCCCCUACCGAGAAGUGGUUGCCACCCAUGCUCUUUGGAACACUAGCUCUGCAAUUGCUUGUGGUCAGCAGAAUCAACGCCACCACNACUGAUACAGAGAAAGACUUCAUUCUGCCUUCUUUCAACCCCCCCUUCCCCUUAUUUUCUU
rnacentral:misc_RNA from 1 species